UACGGAGGGUGCGAGCGUUAAUCGGAAUUACUGGGGCGUAAAAGCGCGCGUAGGCGGCUUUGUAAGUCGGAUGUGAAAUCCCCCGGGCUUAACCUGGGAAUGCAUUCGAUACUGCAGAACUAGAGUAUGGUAGAGGGAAGUGGAAUUUCCGGUGUAGCGGUGAAAAUGCGUAGAUAUCGGAAGGAACACCAGUGGCGAAGGCGACUUCCUGGGCCAAUACUGACGCUGAGGUGCGAAAAGCGUGGGGAGCAAAACAGGAUUAGAUACCCCCGCGUAGUCC
rnacentral:rRNA from 1 species